AAAAGACUUAGUCCUAACCUUGCCAUUAGUUUUCCUGCUCAACAUAUACAUGCAAGUAUCCGCACUCCAGUGCAAACACCCCAAACCUCUUAUCAAGACCAAAGGAGUAGGCAUCAGGCACGCCCACACACCGCAGCCCAAAACGCCUCGUCCAGCCACACCCCCACGGGUACUCAGCAGUAGUUAACAUUAAGCCAUAGGCGAAAGCCUGACUUAGUUAGAGCAACCAGGGUUGGUAAACCUUGUGCCAGCCACCGCGGCCAUACAAGGAACCCAAACUAACCGCACACGGCGUAAAGAGUGGCCCCCGAUUAUCACAGCCAACUAAGACUAAACUACAACCUAAGCCGUCACAAGCCCAAGAUGCCCUGAAACCCCACCUAAAAACAAUCUUAGCACCUGCGACCUAUCUACCCCACGAAAGCCUGGGCACAAACUGGGAUUAGAUACCCCACUAUGCCUGGCCCUAAAUCUUGAUGCUUUCCAUACAAAAACAUCCGCCCGAGAACUACGAGCACAAACGCUUAAAACUCUAAGGACUUGGCGGUGCCCUAAACCCACCUAGAGGAGCCUGUUCUAUAAUCGACAAUCCACGAUACACCCGACCACUCCUUGCCAAAACAGCCUACAUACCGCCGUCAUCAGCCCACCUUUAUGAAAGCACAAUAGUGAGCCCAACAGUCCACCCACUAACAAGACAGGUCAAGGUAUAGCCUAUGGAGUGGAAGAAAUGGGCUACAUUUUCUAAAAUAGACAAAUCCAACGAAAGGAGGCCUGAAAUCUGCCCCAGAAGGCGGAUUUAGCAGUAAAGAGGGACAAUAGAGCCCUCUUUAAGCUGGCCCUAGGGCACGUACACACCGCCCGUCACCCUCCUCACAAGCUACCCCAACACUAACUAAAACACCAAGCAGCUGAAGAUGAGGUAAGUCGUAACAAGGUAAGUGUACCGGAAGGUGUACUUAGCAUAU
rnacentral:ncRNA from 1 species